ACUGAGUGGCGGACGGGUGAGUAACGCGUGGGUAACCUGCCUCAUACAGGGGGAUAACAGUUAGAAAUGACUGCUAAUACCGCAUAAGACCACAGCACCGCAUGGUGCAGGGGUAAAAACUCCGGUGGUAUGAGAUGGACCCGCGUCUGAUUAGGUAGUUGGUGGGGUAACGGCCUACCAAGCCGACGAUCAGUAGCCGACCUGAGAGGGUGACCGGCCACAUUGGGACUGAGACACGGCCCAAACCCCUACGGGAGGCAGCAGUGGGGAAUAUUGCACAAUGGGGGAAACCCUGAUGCAGCGACGCCGCGUGAGCGAUGAAGUAUUUCGGUAUGUAAAGCUCUAUCAGCAGGGAAGAAAAUGACGGUACCUGACUAAGAAGCACCGGCUAAAUACGUGCCAGCAGCCGCGGUAAUACGUAUGGUGCAAGCGUUAUCCGGAUUUACUGGGUGUAAAGGGAGCGUAGACGGAGUGACAAGUCUGAUGUGAAAACCCGGGGCUCAACCCCGGGACUGCAUUGGAAACUGUCAAUCUAGAGUACCGGAGAGGUAAGCGGAAUUCCUAGUGUAGCGGUGAAAUGCGUAGAUAUUAGGAGGAACACCAGUGGCGAAGGCGGCUUACUGGACGGUAACUGACGUUGAGGCUCGAAAGCGUGGGGAGCAAACAGGAUUAGAUACCCUGGUAGUCCACGCCGUAAACGAUGACUACUAGGUGUCGGGC
rnacentral:rRNA from 1 species